rnacentral:rRNA from 1 species
CCUACGGGAUGCAGCAGUGAGGAAUAUUGGUCAAUGGGCGCGAGCCUGAACCAGCCAAGUCGCGUGAGGGAAGACGGUCCUAUGGGUUGUAAACCUCUUUUAUCGGGGAGCAAAAGACGCCACGCGUGGCGUUCCGAGAGUACCCGAAGAAAAAGCAUCGGCUAACUCCGUGCCAGCAGCCGCGGUAAUACGGAGGAUGCGAGCGUUAUCCGGUUUUAUUGGGUUAAAGGAGUCGCAGGCGGAAGAUUAAGGCAGCGGUAACAUUGAGAGGCUAAACCUCUUCGAGCCGUUGAAACUGGUUGUCUUGAGUGAGCGAGAAGUAUACGGAAUGCGUGGUGUAGCGGUGAAAUGCAUAGAUAUAACGCAGAACUCCGAUUGCGAAGGCAGCAUACCGGCGCUCAACUGACGUUCAUGCACGAAAGUGUGGGUAUCGAACAGGAGUAGAUACCCUAGUAGUC